AUUGAACGCUGGCGGCAUGCCUUACACAUGCAAGUCGAACGGUAACGCGGGGCAACCUGGCGACGAGUGGCGAACGGGUGAGUAAUAUAUCGGAACGUGCCCAAUAGUGGGGGAUAGCCCGGCGAAAGCCGGAUUAAUACCGCAUGAGACCUGAGGGUGAAAGCGGGGGAUCGCAAGACCUCGCGCUAUUGGAGCGGCCGAUAUCAGAUUAGGUAGUUGGUGGGGUAAAAGCCUACCAAGCCGACGAUCAGUAGCCGGCCUGAGAGGGUGGACGGCCACACUGGGACUGAGACACGGCCCAGACUCCUACGGGAGGCAGCAGUGGGGAAUAUUGCGCAAUGGGGGAAACCCUGACGCAGCGACGCCGCGUGAGCGAAGAAGGCCUUCGGGUUGUAAAGCUCUGUUGUAAGGGACGAAGGAGCUGGGUAGUAACUGACCUGGCGGUGACGGUACCUUACCAGCAAGCCCCGGCUAACUACGUG
rnacentral:rRNA from 1 species